rnacentral:rRNA from 1 species
GAUGAACGCUGACAGAAUGCUUAACACAUGCAAGUCAACUUGAAUUUGGGUUUUUAACUUAGGUUUGGGUGGCGGACGGGUGAGUAACGCGUAAAGAACUUGCCUCACAGUUAGGGACAACAUUUGGAAACGAAUGCUAAUACCUAAUAUUAUGAUAAUAGGGCAUCCUAUGAUUAUGAAAGCUAUAAGCGCUGUGAGAGAGCUUUGCGUCCCAUUAGCUAGUUGGAGAGGUAACGGCUCACCAAGGCGAUGAUGGGUAGCCGGCCUGAGAGGGUGAUCGGCCACAAGGGGACUGAGACACGGCCCUUACUCCUACGGGAGGCAGCAGUGGGGAAUAUUGGACAAUGGACCAAGAGUCUGAUCCAGCAAUUCUGUGUGCACGAUGAAGUUUUUCGGAAUGUAAAGUGCUUUCAGUUGGGAAGAAAGAAAUGACGGUACCAACAGAAGAAGUGACGGCUAAAUACGUGCCAGCAGCCGCGGUAAUACGUAUGUCACGAGCGUUAUCCGGAUUUAUUGGGCGUAAAGCGCGUCUAGGUGGUUAUGUAAGUCUGAUGUGAAAAUGCAGGGCUCAACUCUGUAUUGCGUUGGAAACUGUGUAACUAGAGUACUGGAGAGGUAAGCGGAACUACAAGUGUAGAGGUGAAAUUCGUAGAUAUUUGUAGGAAUGCCGAUGGGGAAGCCAGCUUACUGGACAGAUACUGACGCUGAAACGCGAAAGCGUGGGUAGCAAACAGG